CUCCACCUGCUCCCUGCCAGCGGCACAGGGGCAUGGGGAAUGGGGGUUGGGGUCAGUUCAUCCCACCUUGUCUCUGCCACUCCUUCCUCCUCAGGGGCAGGACUCCUCACUCUUCCCCUGCUCCAGCGUUGGGGUCCCUCCCAUGGGAGACUGUUCUCCAUGAACUGCUCCAGCGUGGGUCCUUUCCACAGGCUGCAGUCCUUCAGGCACAGACUGCUCCAGUGCGGGCUUUCCCAUGGAGUCCCGGCCAUCUUCGGGGGCACCCACCUGCUCCGGUGUGGGCUCCUCCCUGGGCUGCAGCACUGGAUAAGUGGAAGAGAAUGUUUGCAAGGAGCAGAGGAAUUAGAGAUGUUGGAAGAGGUUUCCUCCAAAACAAGACAAGAAAUCCAAGCAGUUUUUGUCUGCUUAUAAGCUAAUUAUGUUGGACUUCACGUGGAGGGGUUUAAUGCAUACAGAGCAACAAUGUGCCUCUUUCAGGCAUUUCUUUACAUUAGAGCGGGUGCAUCUCUGCAAGAAAGUUUGCGUCACUGCUUUUUCCAAGCUAUACCUCACUGUAAAUGAAGAACUGUUGACUUUGGGACCAUGAAUGAUGGCAUUUUGUGAGCCUCAAAAUGGAAUUAUUCAACAGGGCUUUUUCCACAUAGAAGUACUUUGAAACAAGGGAAAUUCCAAUUAAAUACUGUGAAACAAUAUUUCACAAUGAGAGUGGUCAAACAUUGAAAAAGAUUGCUCGAAGUCAUUGAAUCUCCAUCUUUGGAUAGAGAUAAUAAAACAUUGCUCGGAUGAGCCCUCAGGCAACCUGAUCUAAUUGAAUCUGCUUCAAAGCAGAGGGUUGAAGUAGAGACCUCCAAGAGGUCCUUACCAGCCUAGAUUUUCUGUGAUUUCAAUUAUUGUACUUCUUAGGAUUCCUGAAAUAAAGCUGGUUACUGCCUAGAAACAGA